rnacentral:rRNA from 1 species
UACGUAGGGUGCAAGCGUUAAUCGGAAUUACUGGGCGUAAAGCGUGCGCAGGCGGUUUGUAAGUCUGUCGUGAAAUCCCCGGGCUCAACCUGGGAAUUGCGAUGGAGACUGCAAGGCUAGAAUCUGGCAGAGGGGGGUAGAAUUCCACGUGUAGCAGUGAAAUGCGUAGAGAUGUGGAGGAACGACCGAUGGCGAAGGGCAGCCCCCUGGGCCCAGCACUGACGCUCAUGCACGAA